rnacentral:lncRNA from 1 species
GCAUGUUUUUCAAUCAAUUAAUUAGCAGUUAAUUAGAGGUAGGAAGAGAUACAAAGGAAUAGAAUGAUCAAAGGGAGGAGGGAGGUAAGUGUAGCCAAAGGGAGCCAGUAUGGAAGAAUUUUGAGUGUCACUAAGCUGGCAUCACUAGGACCACUGGUCUCAGGAGACUGUAAAGAUUGGUGCUUGAGAAGGAUUUAGAAGUGACUGAACAGGCUGACUGUAGCACACUGUAAUGCUAUCACUGCCUAUAUCUGCCCUGGUGGGAGCUGCUUGUGUAGGCACAAUGCCCUGCUGGAACCUGUACACUGAAUUAGUCCUUCCAUUGGAAUGAGGAGGCAACUUGGAAAAUAAUUUCUUAAAAGGCUAAAUGGCUCAGGCUUCAUGGAGAUGUUCCAAAGGGACUUCCCCACUGACACCAUUUUGAUUUGACCCCAUGGUUCAUUUUCUAAGCUAUGAAGACUUUUUAAAAAGAAAAUUUCUAACACAUAUUUCUAAUUUGUAAUAUAUACUUAUUAGGUUUGCCAUGUCACGCAUUUUAAUUGUGAGUUCUAACUGACUGGUUUAACGAUACUUCGCAAAGUAAACUCAACAUGUAGGUCAUAAGUUCAGAAUGAAUGAAUCCCUGGAUGUUUACCAAACACCAAAAUUAAAUUACAUUCUUAAUUGUUUUGCAAAUACUUUGGCCUAACUAAUUAAAUAGGAAUGACUUUCUGCGUUGCUAUAGUGCAAGGAAUAUUAAAGUCUUUAGGAGUCAUUUCAAAUUAGCAAACUCAACUACUUUCAUUGUACACUAUGUGGUCAGCUAGCACUUCAAAAAUAGAAACCCCCGUAUCCUCCCAAAGCAGACAAACUAAAAAACCA